UACGUAGGGUGCGAGCGUUGCCCGGAUUUAUUGGGCGUAGAGGGCGCGUAGGCGGUCACGCACGUCCGUUGUGAAAUCGCUCGGCUCAACUGGGCGGGGUCAGCGGAUACGGCGUGGCUGGAGCAAGCUAGGGGGCAAUGGAAUUCCCGGUGUAGUGGUGGAAUGCGUAGAUAUCGGGAGGAACACCAGUGGCGAAGGCGGUUGCCUGGAGCUUUGCUGACGCUGAUGCGCGAAAGCGUGGGGAGCGAUCCGG
rnacentral:rRNA from 1 species